CUUCUGCAAAAUACUUUAUUGUGAGGAACUCUUGGAAUUUGAUACCCCUUUUGCAAAAAACCCUCCAACCUGCAUUUCCAUUUCCCCGCGGCCGCGAUGCAGCCUCAUAAUUCGAUUCAGUCUCCGCGAUUCAACCUUGUUCAGUUCAGCCUGGUCCGUCCCUGUCUCUAGUCGGCAAUGCGGGCCACCAUCACUCCGCCCAUAGCCCACCGCCAGUCCAAAGGUCAGUUUUGCUUUGCCUAAAGUUCAUUCAUAAUUUGAUUCUAGAAUUUCAAAUUUCGAAAUAUAUUUGUGAUAUUUGAUUUGUGAUUGGUGAAUUAUGAAUGUAGAUUAUGCAUUCAUCCGCUAUAAAUUUUGAUGUGUGCAGAUUAAAUAUGAAUUAAAGAGAAAUUUAUUUAUUUAGGAAUUAGGAGAUAGAAAAAGGAGGGAAAAGAAUGAAAAAAAAAAUAAGCAUAAAAUGUUGUGAAUACUGAGAAUACCAAAAAUGAUGCUUCCGUGAGCAAAAUUGAUUUCACGUAAAUUUCAUUGAAAUAAUUCUCCAUUCCUCAUGCUUAGGCAUAUAUUCUGUGAGUUUGUUUUCUGUCAAAUAAAGAAACUAAGGUUGGAAGACAUUGUGAACAGUCUCAAGUUAGAUUCUCUGGACUAAUCUAUCAGUACCCUUUCAGCAAUCAGUAUAUAUUUAGUGCUUAUUUGGGUUUCAUUAAGAAAGCUUGAGGAAUACUAUUAGUUAUGUGAAAUGCCUAAAUCUCAUUGAAAUUUCUAAAAUUUGUAGAGGACAUUGGCUUCUUGCUUCUCCUUCGGUAGUAUUAAUUUCUACACCCACAUGGGGUGCCUAUGAAAACUUUUGUAACUAAUAAACUUGUUAUAAGAUAACUUAAUAAGAUUGGAUUUAACUAGAAUUAGUAUUAAUUUCUACGCCCACAUUGGGUGCCAAUGAAAACUUGUGUAAUUAAUAAACUUGUUAUAAGAUAACUUAAUAAGAUUGGAUUUAAUUAGAAUUGAUUGUCAAAAAUAAACUAAGGGUCAGAUUCGAUUGUGUAUGACUUCUGAGCGGAGAAUUCAUAUCUGUUUUUCGUAGUGACAGGGAACAUUGGAGAAGAAAAGAAAAAAUAAUUGGCUGCAAAUUAAGCCUCUCUUUUUCAUUAAAUGUCAGGGGAUAAUUUAGAACAAGUUCAGUUCUUGUUUUUCAAAUUUGGGAUUUAAGUCAAUAACGUACUUUGUCAUUUAUAUAAUUUUUCAUGAUAUGGUUUUGCAAAACACUUCACUUAUUGACGAGCUGAUUGGGUAUUCAAGUUUAUGGACUUGGAGUUUGCUAUUUUAAAUAUGCAGUUAAUAGCAAUGGAGAAGGUGAGAAUGCAUGCACAGCAGAAACUGGAAUUUAUUCUGGAGAUUUAGUCUUUAUUCAUGAUGUAUAAUUUGGGGUGCUAACAAAAUCUUACUUUCCAUACAGCAACAAAAAAAGUAUAUAUUUUAUUGGUUUCUUUUUUUUCUAUGGAUAGGUUGAUUAUAUCAACUGAUUGGCUAGGAAGAUGUAAAUAUUGGAAGAUAUGCUGAAAAAACUAAUACUUUGGUCCAAUAGGUGGGAAAAAUCAAUGCUGAGAGUGAACAGUCCUUUCAACAAUGACACUGAAGAGAGAGUUGAUAAGGGAAGGAAGUCUUGAAGAGUACUUGCCAUAUGGUGCCAGAAACAUGGCCUCGGGCUACUAAAAUAUGUUUUUUUGUCUCCACUUUUUACCCAUUAAUAAAGCUAGUUUAUGGGUGCAAUUUUUUUAAAGGUCGUAUAAUUCUGAUCUUCUCAUACACAGAUUGACUUUUGGUCCUAUAAUGUAUGAAGUGGGGGUAUGUUUAGAAUUAUUUAAUUGACAUAAUCCUCAUGGAUUUCCGCUUUAAGUGGCAGAUUAUGGACAUUCAAUUUAAAGGCCAUUGACUGUUUCUUUCACAUCUUGAGAUAAUGCAAAAAGCAACAAUUACCUAGCUAUCUUGUUUAUUGAAAACUACAGAUAAACGGAAAGAAAGGAAAUCUUUGAAUCAUUAGAUGAAUAACUUACAGACCCUUUAAAAGAGAUUUGCUUGAUUUUUAUGCUUUGCCAAAAUAGACAUGUCUAUAUAGAUCUUUGAAAAAAUACAAAAGAGGGUAAUUUGAGAUUGCAAUCUUGUAACCAUUGUGAUGUUUUCUGCCUAGUUUUGUUUAUUAGUAUUACACCACUUUAUAUUCUAAUUGCUUUCUUUUCGGUUUAUUAGUGAGCAUCCUGUUUUUUGUGCUUAGACUUGUUGCAAAAUAAAGUGCAGCAAAUACGAAAAACCAUGCAUAGUUUACUGUUUUCUAGUGUUUACUUUUGCUAUAGCAUAUAAUAUAUUCUCAAACAAAAAUUGUCUUGAUGCAGUGAUGUCUUUGAUGAAAGCUAUGGCUAAGGAUAUUCAACCUUUACUGGCAAAUGUUCAUGAUGGUGGUUUGCUUAAGGAAGUGGAGAAUUUAACCAAAAACCUUUACUGGCUGAAGUUAAUUAUAGUGGCCUGGCAGGAGAGGAUGUAGAUUACUCCGAUAUUUAGCGUGUGGAUAUGUUUGGAUUAAUUUUAUACAUUAAUGUGGACUGAUUUUCCCAUUGAAUUUGUGUUAGUCACAAUGAUUUUGGAUGAAAGCAGCAUUCAUUUGAUGCCUUUUGCAACGCACUUUGCUUGUUUUAGUAUCCUUUGACUCUACAGCAACUUUGAAGAUCGCAACAUACGCCUGAGCAUUACAGAAGGUUUUCGCAACAUUUUUUGCUUGUUGCGAAAGGCAAUUUUUAUUGUAGUGUAUACUUUUAAAAUAGUAUUAGCAACAAACAUUUUUUUCACAAAAACUUUAUUGGAA
rnacentral:lncRNA from 1 species